rnacentral:lncRNA from 1 species
AUAUUAGUUAAUAUUCCUUAUGAUGGCUCUUUAUGUAUUGAGUCAUCCGACGUUAAAACUGUAAAAAAUGUAAAAGAACAAAUAUCUGAGUUAAAAGGUAAUUUAUAUUUUAUUACUUUUUUUUUUUUUUUUUUUUUUUAUGCUUUUUGUUUACGUUGUAAAAUAUGUUUUUAUCUUUAUUACAAAUAUAUGUAUUAGCUUUACAUAGUUUAUAAUUCACUAUUAUUUAUCCAUAUGUGAUAAGUGUUCAUUUUUAUGAUGAAUAUAUGAUCUUUGUAUAUAUAUAUAUAUAUAUAUAUGUUGAGCUUUGAAGGCUGUUUUGUUUGUUGUUUUUUUGUACCUGCAUAUAUGAAUUACAGGAUUAAUAAUCUUUAAAAUUCGGUAUGUGUUAUUAUAUUUUAUUCAUCUGAUUUCUUAUUUUUAAACCAUAGAUAUUCCAUGUGAGUUUCAAAAGUUAUACAAAUGUGGACGUCAAUUAGAAGAUGAUGAAUCAAUUCAAAGCGAUGAGUUUGAUUUUGUAAGUUUAUAUGAAAUAAAAAAAAAAUAAAAUAAAAACAAAUAAUAAUAAGAAUAUUAUAUUUGUAACAUUUAAAACGAAAUGAAUAAAUGAAAGAAAAAAUGCAAAUAUUAUGAAACUUGGUAUUAAAUAUAUAUAUGCAUAUGUACGAGUUGUGUAUAUUGCGUGAAUUAAUANNNNNNNNNNUUCAAGUAGUAAAUAUGAAAAUAUUAGUUAAUAUUCCUUAUGAUGGCUCUUUAUGUAUUGAGUCAUCCGACGUUAAAACUGUAAAAAAUGUAAAAGAACAAAUAUCUGAGUUAAAAGAUAUUCCAUGUGAGUUUCAAAAGUUAUACAAAUGUGGACGUCAAUUAGAAGAUGAUGAAUCAAUUCAAAGCGAUGAGUUUGAUUUUGUAAGUUUAUAUGAAAUAAAAAAAAAAUAAAAUAAAAACAAAUAAUAAUAAGAAUAUUAUAUUUGUAACAUUUAAAACGAAAUGAAUAAAUGAAAGAAAAAAUGCA